GACGUAGGGCGCGAGCGUUGUCCGGAUUGAUUGGGCGUAAAGAGUUCGUAGGCGGCUCGUUGCGUCGGCUGUGAAAACCCGCAGCUCAACUGUGGGCCUGCAGCUGAUACGGGCGGGCUGGAGGCCAGUAGGGGGAUGCGGAAUUCCGGGUGUAGUGGUGGAAUGCGUAGAGAUCCGGAGGAACACCAGCGGCGAAGGCGGCAUCCUGGGCUGGUCCUGACACUCAGGAGCGAAAGCGUGGGGAGCGAUCCGG
rnacentral:rRNA from 1 species